rnacentral:rRNA from 1 species
GAACGCCCGGGCUUCGGCCUGGUUAUUCAUAACCCUUUGUUGUCCGACUCUGUUGCCUCCGGGGCGACCCUGCCUUCGGGCGGGGGCUCCGGGUGGACACUUCAAACUCUUGCGUAACUUUGCAGUCUGAGUAAACUUAAUUAAUAAAUUAAAACUUUUAACAACGGAUCUCUUGGUUCUGGCAUCGAUGAAGAACGCAGCGAAAUGCGAUAAGUAAUGUGAAUUGCAGAAUUCAGUGAAUCAUCGAAUCUUUGAACGCACAUUGCGCCCCCUGGUAUUCCGGGGGGCAUGCCUGUUCGAGCGUCAUUUCACCACUCAAGCCUCGCUUGGUAUUGGGCAACGCGGUCCGCCGCGUGCCUCAAAUCGUCCGGCUGGGUCUUCUGUCCCCUAAGCGUUGUGGAAACUAUUCGCUAAAGGGUGUUCGGGAGGCUACGCCGUAAAACAACCCCAUUUCUAAGGUUGACCUCGGAUCAGGUAGGGAUACCCGCUGAACUUAAGCAUAU